rnacentral:snRNA from 1 species
AUAUUUACCUGGCAGGGGAUAUACUAUGAUUAUUAGGUGGUUUUCCCAGGGCAAGGCUUAUCCAUUGCACUUGGGAUGUGCCAACUCCUGUGAUUUCCCCAAAUGUGGAAAACUGCAGAAUUUGUGAUAGUGAGGGACUUUAUUUGCACUCUUCCCUA